rnacentral:tRNA from 1 species
GUUGUCAUCACUCUGAAAAGAGCACCAGAUUCCUAAUCUGGGGGUCGCGCGUUCGAAUCGCGCCGGGAUCACCA